GGGGGUAUAGCUCAGUGGCAGAGCAAUCGGCUGCAGUCCGAUAGGUCAGCGGUUCAACCCCGCUUGCCCCCU
rfam:Physcomitrella patens subsp. patens PHYPAscaffold_99 genomic scaffold, whole genome shotgun sequence.